rnacentral:rRNA from 1 species
GAUGAACGCUAGCUACAGGCUUAACACAUGCAAGUCGAGUGACCGGCGCACGGGUGAGUAACACGUAUCCAACCUGCCCUUUACUCGGGGAUAGCCUUUCGAAAGACAGAUUAAUACCCGAUGUCAAGGUUGGGGAUGCGUUCCAUUAGGUUGUUGGUGAGGUAACGGACCACCAAGCCUUCGAUGGAUAGGGGUUCUGAGAGGAAGGUCCCCCACAUUGGAACUGAGACACGGUCCAAACUCCGACGGGAGGCAGCAGUGAGGAAUAUUGGUCAAUGGGCGUUAGCCUGAACCAGCCAAGUAGCGUGAAGGAUGAAGGCUUAUGGGUCGUAAACUUCUUUUAUAGAAGAAUAGGUAUUAUAUGAAUAAGGAGCGGCUAACUCCGUACCAGCAGCCGGGGUAAUAC